rnacentral:rRNA from 1 species
AUGAUGACCAAGUACAUGAGGAACAAUGUGCAAGGAGUUGUGCUACUUUUUUCUCUUCUUGUGGUGUGUUUGACUUGUCUUGGAGGCACAUAUGGUGGAAUCAUAAACGACAAGGGGAGCAAUAUGAUGAGCAAAAAUGCUUCAUCAGCUGUCCCUGCAAGAUUAAUUGCACACCAGCAGCAACAACAACACAAUAGUUCUGUUAUCUCCCCUAUUUUGGGUGGACAAAUAUCAACUUUAUGGUUCUCAAAAUAA